rnacentral:rRNA from 1 species
AUUGAACGCUGGCGGAAUGCUUUACACAUGCAAGUCGAGCGGCAGCGCGGGGCAACCUGGCGGCGAGCGGCGAACGGGUGAGUAACAUAUCGGAACGUAUCCAUAAGUGGGGGACAACCUAGCGAAAGUUAGGCUAAUACCGCAUACGCUCGAGAGAGGAAAGUGGGGGAUCGCAAGACCUCACGCUUUAGGAGCGGCCGAUAUCAGAUUAGCUAGAUGGUGAGGUAAAGGCUUACCAUGGCGACGAUCUGUAGCUGGUCUGAGAGGAUGAUCAGCCACACUGGGACUGAGACACGGCCCAGACUCCUACGGGAGGCAGCAGUGGGGAAUUUUGGACAAUGGGGGCAACCCUGAUCCAGCCAUUCCGCGUGAGUGAAGAAGGCCUUCGGGUUGUAAAGCUCUUUUGUCGGGGACGAAACGGUUACAGCUAAUAUCUGUGACUACUGACGGUACCCGAAGAAUAAGCACCGGCUAACUACGUGCCAGCAGCCGCCGUAAUAC